rnacentral:rRNA from 1 species
CCUACGGGAGGCAGCAGUGGGGAAUAUUGCACAAUGGGGGGAACCCUGAUGCAGCAACGCCGCGUGGGUGAAGAAGUACUUCGGUAUGUAAAGCCCUGUCAGCAGGGAAGAAAAUGACGGUACCUGACCAAGAAGCCCCGACUAACUACGUGCCAGCAGCCGCGGUAAUACGUAGGGGGCAAGCGAUAUCCGGAUUUACUGGGUGUAAAGGGAGCGUAGACGGCAAGGCAAGUCUGGAGUGAAAGCCCGUGGCUCAACCACGGGACUGCUUUGGAAACUGUGUUGCUGGAGUGCAGGAGGGGUAAGCGGAAUUCCUAGUGUAGCGGUGAAAUGCGUAGAGAUUAGGAGGAACACCGGUGGCGAAGGCGGCUUACUGGACUGUAACUGACGUUGAGGCUCGAAGGCGUGGGGAGCAAACAGGAUUAGAUACCCGGGUAGUC